AGAGAGAGAGAGAGAGAGAGAGAGAGAGAGAGAGAGAUGUCAUAACCUGGCAUGCCACAGCCUGGUGGGACAUAGCGUGAUGCAGCAGUGGAAGAACACACAAGGAUGUAAAUAAUUACGUCUACGGGAGAAUUGUAAAAGGGACCCUGCUGCGAAUCGAGGCGAAAUUGGGUCAGGUAUCCUGUGUCAGGAAACCAUUAACACGAGAGUGGGAGGCCAACCAUUAACAAGAGAGUGGGAAGCCAGGCAUCAGAUUGUACGCAGACCCAAACAAACACCCAA